ensembl:snRNA U1 U1 spliceosomal RNA
ACUCAUACCUGGCAGGGGAGAUACCAUGGUCAUCAAAGUGGUUUUCCUAGGGUGAGGCUCAUCUAUUGCACUUUGGAUGUGCUGACCCCUGUGAUUUCCCCAAAUAUGGGAAAAAUCAACUGCCUAAGUGGC